rnacentral:rRNA from 1 species
AGUGAGCGCUGGCGGUAGGCCUAACACAUGCAAGUCGAACGGCAGCACAGUAAGAGCUUGCCCUUACGGGUGGCGAGUGGCGGACGGGUGAGGAAUACAUCGGAAUCUACUUUUUCGUGGGGGAUAACGUAGGGAAACUUACGCUAAUACCGCAUACGACCUACGGGUGAAAGCAGGGGAUCUUCGGACCUUGCGCGAUUGAAUGAGCCGAUGUCGGAUUAGCUAGUUGGCGGGGUAAAGGCCCACCAAGGCGACGAUCCGUAGCUGGUCUGAGAGGAUGAUCAGCCACACUGGAACUGAGACACGGUCCAGACUCCUACGGGAGGCAGCAGUGGGGAAUAUUGGACAAUGGGCGCAAGCCUGAUCCAGCCAUACCGCGUGGGUGAAGAAGGCCUUCGGGUUGUAAAGCCCUUUUGUUGGGAAAGAAAAGCAGCAGGUUAAUACCCCGCUGUUCUGACGGUACCCAAAGAAUAAGCACCGGCUAACUUCGUG